UACGUAGGGGGCGAGCGUUAUCCGGAAUUAUUGGGCGUAAAGAGUACGUAGGUGGUUUCCUAAGCGAGGGGUUUAAGGCAAUAGCUUAACCAUUGUUCGCCCCCCGAACUGGGUUACUUGAGUGCUGGAGGGGAAAGCGGAAUUCCUAGUGUAGCGGUGAAAUGCGUAGAUAUUAGGAGGAACACCAGUGGCGAAGGCGGCUUUCUGGACAGUAACUGACACUGAGGUACGAAAGUGUGGGGAGCAAACAGG
rnacentral:rRNA from 1 species